rnacentral:rRNA from 1 species
CCGCAAUGCGCGAAAGCGCGACUGGGUCACCCCGAGUGCCGCCCGCUGAGGGCGGCUUUUGCCCAGUCUAGUCAGCUGGGUGAAUAAGGGGAGGGCAAGUCUGGUGUCAGCCGCCGCGGUAAUACCAGCUCCUCGAGUGGUUGGGACGAUUAUUGGGUCUAAAGCGUCCGUAGCGGGCCAGACAAGUUCUCCGUUAAAUCCAACGAUCCAAUCGUUGGGCUGCGGGGAAUACUGUUCGGCUUGGGGGCGAAGGAGGUCGGCGGUAGUCUCGGGGUAGGGGCGAAAUCCUAUAAUCCCGAGAGGACCACCAGUGGCGAAGGCGGCCGACUAAAGCGCGCCCGACCGUGAGGGACGAAAGCUGGGGGAGCGAACGGGAUUAGAUACCCCGGUAGUCCCAGCUGUAAACGAUGCAGGCUAGGUGUUGGGACGGCUACGAGCUGUCCCAGUGCCGCAGGGAAGCCAUUAAGCCUGCCACCUGGGGAGUACGGCCGCAAGGCUGAA